GUAGGCCAGUUCUCAGAUGGUCUGGCACAGAUUCGAAUCCGAACAAACCGUUCUAUGGCUGCCCCAAUUAUAAUACAAGUGGGAAGAGAUGGUGCGGGCUUUUUGUGUGGGCAGAUUCUGUGAAUGAGGAACAGGUUGAAAAGUCAGAAUCGUGUGGUGAUGAAGUGAAGAUCAACGUUGAUUGGAGGCUUCGAAGGUUGGAGGAGGAUGUCCAGAUGCAAAAAGUGAUGACCCAGUUGUUAGUGUUAGGUGUGUGUGUAUUGACAGUGUUGUUGGUGAUCCUGUAUUGUAAAUGAUGAAUGAAUUGGUGGUUUUGGGUUCCUUGUUAUC